GUAAAGAGCCGCGGUAUCUUGACCGUGCGAAGGUAGCAUAAUAAUUAGUCUCCUAAUUAGAGGCUUGUAUGAAUGGUCGGACAAGAUGGAAACUGUCUCAACACGAUAAAUAAAAUUUAAUGUUUAAGUAAAAAAGCUUAAAUGUAAUGGAGGGACGAUAAGACCCUAUAAAGCUUUAUGAUACUUUUCUUUUUUACAAAUUAUUUCGUUAUUAACUUAUUUUAGAAUUAAUAUCAUUUUACUGGGGCGGUAAAAGUAUAAUAAAGAUUAACUGCUUUUAUUUUGUUGAACAAUGUUAAUUGGAAAUAAACUGAUCCAUUAUUAAUGAUCAUAAGAACAAGUUACUUUAGGGAUAACAGCGUAAUUUUUUUUGAGAGUCCUUAUCGAAAAAAAAGUUUGCGACCUCGAUGUUGAAUUAAGGUUACCUUAA
rnacentral:rRNA from 1 species